UGGGGAAUAUUGCACAAUGGGGGAAACCCUGAUGCAGCGACGCCGCGUGAGCGAAGAAGACCUUCGGGUCGUAAAGCUCUUUUAUAUGGGAAGAUAAUGACGGUACCAUAAGAAAAAGCCCCGGCUAACUACGUGCCAGCAGCCGCGGUAAUACGUAGGGGGCUAGCGUUGUCCGGAAUCACUGGGCGUAAAGGGUUCGCAGGCGGCAAUGCAAGUCAGAUGUAAAAGGCAAAGGCUCAACCUUUGUAAGCAUCUGAAACUGUAUAGCUUGAGAAGUGUAGAGGCAAGUGGAAUUUUUAGUGUAGCGGUGAAAUGCGUAGAUAUUAAAAAGAAUACCGGUGGCGAAGGCGACUUACUGGGCUCAUUCUGACGCUGAGGAACGAAAGCGUGGGUAGCAAACAGG
rnacentral:rRNA from 1 species